GAUGAACGCUGGCGGCGUGCCUAAUACAUGCAAGUCGAGCGAACGGACGAGAAGCUUGCUUCUCUGAUGUUAGCGGCGGACGGGUGAGUAACACGUGGAUAACCUACCUAUAAGACUGGGAUAACUUCGGGAAACCGGAGCUAAUACCGGAUAAUAUUUUGAACCGCAUGGUUCAAAAGUGAAAGACGGUCUUGCUGUCACUUAUAGAUGGAUCCGCGCUGCAUUAGCUAGUUGGUAAGGUAACGGCUUACCAAGGCAACGAUGCAUAGCCGACCUGAGAGGGUGAUCGGCCACACUGGAACUGAGACACGGUCCAGACUCCUACGGGAGGCAGCAGUAGGGAAUCUUCCGCAAUGGGCGAAAGCCUGACGGAGCAACGCCGCGUGAGUGAUGAAGGUCUUCGGAUCGUAAAACUCUGUUAUUAGGGAAGAACAUAUGUGUAAGUAACUGUGCACAUCUUGACGGUACCUAACCAGAAAGCCGCGGCUAACUACGUG
rnacentral:rRNA from 1 species